UGGUUUUUGUCGAGCAGGAGUGAGGCUGGACGCUGAAUACACCUGCGGCGCGAGGGUCACCAUAUUCAGCUGCUGCAGCUUGGACACCAACAUCACCUUACAGACCAACAGGUGUCACCACUUUGUCCACAACAUUGUCCACGAUCGCCGAGACGUCAUCCACGAUCACAGAGACAUGGUCCAUGAUCGGAGAGACAUUGUUGAGGAUG